AAAACUGAGAACAGUGACCGGCACCUUGGCUUCUAUAAUUGGAAAAAUCAGCCUUCAGUUCAAAGUGGGCGACCUGUCUGUUCCAUUUAAUGCAUGGGUGGCCAGAGUGCAAGAUGCAUGCAUACUGGGGCUGGAUUUUCUGAAGACCAUUAAGUGUGUAUUGGACCUGGGCAGAGGACUGCUGACACUGCCUGGAGGACACUGUGUACAGCUCACUUCGCCUACCUCAGCUGUGGUUCCUCAGGUGCAGUCAGCAGACACCGUGGACGACAGAGACCCGGCUCAAAACCCUCGACCACCAAUGCUACAGCGACCACCCACAGGCCACAAAUCAGGGCAAGAAACACUAGGGGAGCAUGAGAGGCUGACAGUCUUGAGAGACAUUUGGACCAGGAACUGUGAUGGACUAAACCAACACCAGCAGGAGGAGUUAUGGCAGACUCUGCUGGAUUUCAGAGACAUUUUUGCCCUUAGUGAGAACGAAGUGGGCCUCACACACCUUGUCCAGCAUGACAUUAACACUGGGGACGCGCAACCCCGUAAAAGUGCGCCCCUGUCGGCUCCCGCUGGCACACCAGGAAGCUGCAGACCAAGAGCUGGAAGAGAUGCUGAGAACAGGUAUCAUUGAGCCAUCAGACAGCCCUUGGGCCGCAGCUGUUGUCAUGGUGCCACGGAAGAAGAAUCCACGGAUGCGGUUCUGUGUGGAUUACAGACCGCUGAACAAAGUCACAAAAAAAGACUCCUACCCAAUUCCAAGAGUGGAUGACUGCCUCGGUGCUGUGGCUGGCUCUUCGUGGUUCUCUACACUGGAUUUACGGAGCGGCUAUUGGCAGGCGCCCCUAGCCCCAGAGGCGAGACCUAAAACAGCAUUCUGCACAAACCGAGGGCUCUGGCAGUUCAAGGUCCUCAAUUUCGGCCUCUGUAACGCACCUGCCACCUUUGAAAGACUGAUGGAUAAAGUACUCAAUGGUGUCCCACGUAGCAGGUGCCUGGUGUACCUGGAUGACAUCUUGGUCCACGGCAGUUCUUUCAACACUGCAUUGGAGUCCCUGCGACAAGUGUUGACCAAAAUAGCUGGGGCUGGCCUGAAAUUACACCCGGAUAAAUGUCAUUUCAUGAAGAGAGAGGUGGAGUUUCUGGGCCACAAGCUGGUGGUGGGGGGAAUCAGCACACUGAGUGAAAAAACUGAAGCAAUCAAACGCUGGCCCUCUCCAUCUAACCAGACACAACUGAAGAGUUUCUUAGGACUAGCCUCAUACUAUAGGAAAUUUGUGAGGAAUUUUUCUUCCAUCGGGGCCCCACUUUUCCAACUGCUUCACAAAGACAGAGCAUUCCACUGGACGCAGGAGUGUCAGCAGGCUUUUUCCACCUUAAAGCAGGCACUGACAGAGGCCCCUGUGCUCUCUCCUGCUGACCCCACACUACCUUUUGUGCUCGAUACGGACGCCAGCAAUGUCGGGAUAGGGGCUGUGCUGUCCCAGAUCAGGCCAGACGGGGAGAAGGUCGUCGCCUACUUCAGCCGGGUGCUAAACAAGAGCGAGCGCAGGUACUGUGUCACCAGACGGGAGCUCCUGGCGGUGGUUUGGGCAAUAAGACACUUUAAAUAUUACCUGUGCGGGGUGCCGUUCAAAGUCAGGUCAGACCACGCUGCAUUGCAGUGGUUAAUGUCAUUUAGAGAACCUGAGGGACAGUUAGCUCGCUGGCUAGAAGAGCUACAGUCUUAUGACUUUACUGUGGUUCACAGAGCAGGAGUGCAGCACACUAACGCCGAUGCAUUGUCUCGCCGACCCUGUGCGAAGGUGGGCUGCAGCUACUGUAAAAAGAGAGAGUCAAGAGAAGAGGAGCUCAGCCAGCAGGACUAUAAACCCCAGCUUUUCUGUGGAGCAUUACAGGUGAGAGAUGCUGCUGAGUGGAGGGUUCAGCAGGAGCAAGACGUGGACCUGCAGCCUGUGAUGCAGUGGUUGGCUGAGAGGCAGAGGCCAGCAUGGGAGAAGGUCACAGGGUGCUCCAUCACUUCAAAGGGGCUGUGGUCUAAGUUUGCCUCACUGAGAUUAAAAGACGGGGUGCUGCAGCGGGCGUGGAAGGAGCCAGCUACCGGGGAGGAAAAGUGGCAGACUGUGGUGCCCAAGAACCUGAGAGAGACAGUCAUAAAGUCCUGCCAUGGAAGCACAGGGGUAGGACACUUUGGCAUGACAAAAACACUCCGUCGCCUUCGCCAAGGGUUCUAUUGGGGCCAGCACAGAAGGGACGUGGAGGACUUUUGUCGGCGUUGCGAUACCUGCGCUGCCCACAAAGGGCCACCAGACCAGUCACGCGCCCAGCUGCAACAGCAAUGCUCAGGGGGGCCAAUGGAGAGAAUUGCUAUUGACAUCAUGGGCCCUUUCCCUCACACAGAUAGAGGGAACCGUUAUGUGCUUGCUGCUAUGGACUAUUUUACGAAAUGGCCCGAGGCCUACGCCAUACCAGAUCAGGAAGCAGAGACAGUGGCAGAUGCACUCGUGGAGGGCAUGCUGAGCAGAUUUGGUACAGCAGAGAGUAUACACAGUGACCAAGGGAGGAAUUUUGAAUCAAAGGUAUUCGCAGCCCUGUGUGAACGCCUGGACAUGCAGAAAACACGUACAACUCCCCUGCACCCCCAAAGCGACGGGUUAGUAGAGAGGUUUAACAGGACACUCGCUCAGCAGAUGGCAAUUCUCACAGCUGACCAUCAGCGUGACUGGGAUGCCCACCUCCCUCUCAUUCUAAUGGCUUAUAGAUCAGCAGUGCAGGACUCCACUUUGUGCACCCCUGCUCUACUCAUGCUGGGUAGAGAGAUUCGGACCCCUCCUGAGCUAGCGUUUGGAAGGCCCCCUGACGCCCCAGAAGCGCCCCCGGGUCGGGACUACGCCAAAAAGCUGCAGGACAGGCUGGAGACAGCUCACACCUUCGCGGGGGAGCAACUAGGAAAGGCAGGCAUAAGACAGAAAAGGAAUUAUGACCUGAAAAGCAGAGGAAGACAUUUUCAGGCUGGUGAGCUUGUGUGGGUCUACAGCCCAAAAAGAAAGAGGGGUCGCUGUCCUAAACUGGAUUGCCACUGGGAAGGGCCCUGUUCAGUUUUGGAAAGAGUUGGGGAGGUGGUCUAUAGGGUCCAGGUGCCACCCAGAGGUAGAAAAGUGGCCCUGCACAGAGACAGAUUAGCUCCCUACAGAGGAAAUUCCCUCCCUGCAUUCCAAAGCGGUCCUGGUCCAACUGUGACCCCACUGGCUUGUAGUGACAGUACGCCUGCCUGUGCAGCACCUAACCCAGCCCCACAGGCCCCCAGUGACCCCCAAUCCUGGUCUCCAUCCCUGGAUGGUCUCUUGGUUCCGGACCCACAGUUCACAAGAGACAGUGUGCGGCUGAGGAGGCAAAGAAAGCUGCCUACACGUCUCAGAGACUUUGUUGUCCCCUCAGGGACGAGGGACUUUUUGUUGGGGGGAGCAGUGUAAUGUUCUGAGUUAACCUUGUUCAGUGCCUUUAAGACAGAGUGCAUGCUGAUUGGUGGGCUGUCAGUCACAUGGGACUUCUAGGCAAGUUUAAGGAAGUUAAGGUGUUGUGUUCGGUCUCUUUUUUUCGGCUGAGGACUGAAGCUGGUAACGUUGUGCUGGCGUGGGUUACGGCCAGGACAGUAACCCGUUCUGCGAUUGUGUUCAGCGAAUAAACGUGAGAGCCAAGCCACUGAAGAGUGAUUAUUUCUCAUCAGUAGAAUAUUACAAUAUAUUAUGGGAUAAUAUACUCACAAAAAAUGAGAAAUACGUAAUAAUAGGUGGUAAAAAUUAAAUUAUUUUCAUUGUGAUGUGGAGGAAGAAUUCAGUAAUCUCACAUUCAGUGUGUAACUCUUAUAGAGUGCAAGCUGUUAGGUAGUUUUGGAAGUCUGUCUAAAAAACAAAUACAAAAACAUAAAUAGACUUACUGCAAGUCUUAUAAAGCCGAGGUUCAAGGCUUAAAUGCUUCAUUACUCCAUUUUAAAGUUUUAUGCCAAUACAUAAAAACUUAAAGAACAAUGAAGUUGUGCUGUAAUUGCAACUUUAGAAUAGCCUAGCCGCGCUAGACAACCCACGGCAACGAAUUUAAUUCUCUGUCAGGGUGAGUCUAGUUACCCUCCAUAAGGCUCGAGGCUGGAUUCUCCUAAAACUGGCCGGACCAAUCACCAUGAAGUGUAGAGUCAGAAGGCGGGCGUAACUAAGUGACGACAGAGGCGCGACGAUUCUGACAGAAACAACCGGCGCACAAUAAACGGUUAUCUUUCGACUCGGCUUUGGCCACAGCCCUUAAAGAUUUGAAGCUAAAAUUCAACUUGAAAGAUAAACAAAGGACGGCACUGAAGUGUUUCAUUGAGAAGAAAGACGUAUUUGGACUUAUGCCGAAAGGAUAUGACAAAUCCUUAAUAUACCAGUUGGCUCCGCUGGUUGGGAAGCUAAUGGGACUUAGCCACAAUCCGCCGGCGCUCUAGGAACUACGCCAGCCUAUUCGUUGUACUGAUUGGUUGUAUAUCUACCCAAUUGCUGCAGAGUGAUUUGAAAGACAACCUUUUAACCCGCCUCCCUCCCUGACGAGCGGCCCUAGACCCUUGUGCCUUCAGAAACGUGGGUCUAGCGCGGCUAGGCUAGCUUUAGAAUGUUUUGUCCUCCCUAAAGGCCCUCUUAGAACCAUAUCUCUGGCUGAGCUCUGUAGGACUGGAGAUUGAGGAAUUAAAUGGCAAACAUCACCUGCUCUGGAGAAGGUCAGGAGUUCAUCAUAAGUCACUAUGGGGAUGUGGCUCAGUGAGAAAUGAACCAUCGUUGUCCUCAAAAUCCCAAGUUAGACCUGAAGUCACCUCGCUAGUAGGGCAGGCCUCGGAUCAACAUUUUUGUUUGUUUUGUGAUGUCAAAUCAAACACACAUUCACAUCAGCCUAAGAUGUACAAUCCUGUAAAGUAAUAAGUGCAUACCAUGGAAUUCUCUGACUGUUUCAAUGUAUUCUACAAACACGCAUAAUCCUCUUUGAACUAAUGACACGACAUCUAUUCAAACAAAUGUCACCCAAAUACGCUGACUCUCCAGAAAAGUCAGGCCGAGAAUAGAGUGUUUGAUGCAUAAAGAAAUCUCCAAGAACUGCAGAAUGUCAUCACAGGAUCAGCAGGUAAUACUCACAAGUUGCAAUGUGUCAACAAUCAGAGAGAGCUUUGACUUGCAUUGGAGGCGUGCCAAGAAAAAGGCUUUUGCUCCCCAAAAAUAACAUUAGAGGAAAAACUACAGCUUACCAGUGAACAUAUAGACACAGAUCGGGCCUUUUGGGCCUAAUGUAACCGAACAGACAAAUCACAGAAAGAGUUGUUUGGCCACAGUAACAGUAGACAUUUUUGGCGCUGACCAAAUACAGAUUUUGAGGGGAACAACCUCACACCAACUGUGAAGCACUGCGGUGGAAAUGUUAUGGUUUGGUGUUGUUUUGCUGCCUCAGGGAAGCUGGGCAGCAGCCAGUCACUGAUUUAACUGUGAGUUCUGCAUCAUAUGAAAAGGUGCCCGAGGACAAUGUGAAAGAUGUCCGAAAUAUGAACUGCGAGUUAACCUUUCAACAGCAAAGUGAUCCUAAACACACUAUAGCAAAUCCACCCACAAAUGGCUCAAAAAGAGGAAAUGGAAAGUUAUUGGACACAAACAAAGGCCAAAUUUGAACCAAAGUGGAUUUGAAAUGGGCAGUUUAUGCAAGAAAACCUCAAACAUGUUGCAACUGUAGGAAGUUUGCAAUGGAGAGUUCAGAAAGCUGAUGUCAGAAUCUGGCAGAUAAUUACGCAAAAGCUGUUUCUGCAAAAGGGAUGACGCUUCUGAAGAUAAGAAGAGUAUAAGCUCUAUCGAUAGCCCUAAUUUUGUAGAAUAAAUGGUUGAAAACCUAAUUUUCAUUGUGAUAGGGAUCAAGUGUUUGCUAAUGUAAAAACACACACACAACAGUUUCCAUGACCUUUAUAGUAACAUUAAUACCAGCUGAACACUAGCAUGCACAUCGCCCCUGUAGGAAUAUUAGCAUGGUGACAUUGCAAAAAUGCAAAUAAAUGGCCAUGUUUAUGUAAAAUGGAUUACUUUUAGUGACAAAAUAAAGAAGUACGCUGCAGUUCUAUUUGGCUUCAUGGAGUGGUUUACCAUCCUUCAGUUCAAUGCUUUGGUUUUCUGACCUUUAUAUUUACUGUUUUGAUUUACUCCGUUUUCUGAAGCAGCAGGUAGCUGUUUUCAAUGGAAAAAGAUCUGAUAAACAUGCUGUAGGUCUGCUAACUGGUGAACACAUUACUGAUCUGGAGUUUCUAUGACUGUAAUUUACACUGCUGAUUUAUUAUAUGAUGACAAAAAUUGCAACUUUUAGAAUGAUGAAGUCUGGAAACAACAAUUAGAAAUGUUAAAAACUUUGGGCUCAAUACACCUGGAAGAGUUUAGAUUUUACAAAUGAAAGUUUAGAUAUUCAUUCAGUACACAUUUCAGUAUUUGUGACUAAAUUAGUUUACAAUUGAGAUCCACAAAUCCACAAAUUAGAAAUGAACUAUUUAUCUAAACUAAAUAACUCAGGAUUACCCAAGCAUUUUUUGUAACCUGACUCUCUGGAGAAGAUUUAAAGUAAACCUUUACACCUAUAUAAGGAUAAAUACAUUUUUACAGAAAAUAAAACAACAGUUAAAUGUAAAAAUAAAAUUAGCGAUUCCACAUUUUUAAACAGCCUUUUUUUUUUGGAUUUGAUUUGGAAAGGACUCAUGACUUCAUUACAUUUCCAUGUUUGUCUCAUUUUUGUGUCAAUGGAAAAGUCUUUAAUUGUUCCACAGAAGGUUGCAUCUUUUAUUUUGAAGGCAGACUUGUUGGACACAAUGUUCCAGGUGUAGCCGGGCUGACGCAGGUACAGUCGUGUGUUCAGGUGCAGUUACGUCAUGGCAGUAAAAAAAUGCGGAUCUUGCAGCAGGACCAUUAGUGUAUGUGUCUGCACUUCCCUGGAAUGACCGAUCCCUUUAAGUGAAGCCUUUUGUGAUGGAGGCUUGACAGGAGAAAUCUCUGAAACUUGGCUUAAUGAGGAAGAACGAGUCCUAGACUGUUGGAGCAGAAAGUGUAGACGAGCUCAU